AGAAGAGAAGAGAAGAGAAGAGAAGAGAAGAGAAGAGAAGAGAAGAGAAGAGAAGAGAAGAGAAGACUUGACACAUCAAAUUUCACAAAGUUGAAAGACAAGGAUGAAACUCUCUUGGAAGAAAAAGUCAAAAGAAAAGAAAAAUAAGCCCUCCUCUGAUGAUGAUGUGUAUGUGAAUCCUGAAGAUCUCCCCUCCAGCCAGCCUCCUCCACCCCCUCAACCUGACCCACUGUUCGCCAGCAGCUGGAGGGAGCUGGAGUGGAG